AUAAUUUGUGCAUUUAAUGCUUUGGUACCUAUUGGUAACUUAAGUUGUGACUUGAGCUCACAGGCUAUGUUAUAUAU